rnacentral:rRNA from 1 species
UGUUAUACCGCCUAUAUACCGCCGUCGUCAGCCUACCCUGUGAAGGACUAGAAGUGAGCAAGAUUGGUAAGACCCAAAACGUCAGGUCGAGGUGUAGUGUAUGAGAGGGGAAGAAAUGGGCUACAUUUCCUAAGUCAGGAAAUACGAAUAAUGAACUGAAAUAAGCAUUAGAAGGUGGAUUUAGCAGUAAGCAGCAAAACAGAGUGUUCUGCUGAAAUAUGGCAAUAAAGCACGCACAUAUCGCCCGUCACUCUCCCCAAGCUAACACAAAACAAAUACCUAAAAAACUACAUCUGCAAAGGGGAGGCAAGUCGUAACAUGGUAAGCGUACCGGAAGGUGCGCUUGGAACAAU